rnacentral:rRNA from 1 species
AUUGAACGCUGGCGGCAGGCCUAACACAUGCAAGUCGAGCGGAUGAAGGGAGCUUGCUCCUGGAUUCAGCGGCGGACGGGUGAGUAAUGCCUAGGAAUCUGCCCGGUAGUGGGGGAUAACGUCCGGAAACGGGCGCUAAUACCGCAUACGUCCUGAGGGAGAAAGUGGGGGAUCUUCGGACCUCACGCUAUCAGAUGAGCCUAGGUCGGAUUAGCUAGUUGGUGGGGUAAAGGCCUACCAAGGCGACGAUCCGUAACUGGUCUGAGAGGAUGAUCAGUCACACUGGAACGGAGACACGGUCCAGACUCCUACGGGAGGCAGCAGUGGGGAAUAUUGGACAAUGGGCGAAAGCCUGAUCCAGCCAUGCCGCGUGUGUGAAGAAGGUCUUCGGAUUGUAAAGCACUUUAAGUUGGGAGGAAGGGCAGUAAGUUAAUACCUUGCUGUUUUGACGUUACCAACAGAAUAAGCACCGGCUAACUUCGUG